rnacentral:rRNA from 1 species
GAUGAACGCUGGCGGCGUGCCUAAUACAUGCAAGUCGAGCGAACAGACGAGGAGCUUGCUCCUCUGACGUUAGCGGCGGACGGGUGAGUAACACGUGGAUAACCUACCUAUAAGACUGGGAUAACUUCGGGAAACCGGAGCUAAUACCGGAUAAUAUUUUGAACCGCAUGGUUCAAUAGUGAAAGCCGGUUUUGCUGUCACUUAUAGAUGGAUCCGCGCCGCAUUAGCUAGUUGGUAAGGUAACGGCUUACCAAGGCAACGAUGCGUAGCCGACCUGAGAGGGUGAUCGGCCACACGGGAACUGAGACACGGUCCAGACUCCUACGGGAGGCAGCAGUAGGGAAUCUUCCGCAAUGGGCGAAAGCCUGACGGAGCAACGCCGCGUGAGUGAUGAAGGUCUUCGGAUCGUAAAACUCUGUUAUUAGGGAAGAACAAAUGUGUAAGUAACUAUGCACGUCUUGACGGUACCUAAUCAGAAAGCCACGGCUAACUACGUG